UACGUAGGUGGCAAGCGUUGUCCGGAUUUACUGGGCGUAAAGAGCGCGCAGGCGGUCGUUCAAGUCGCGUGUGAAAGCCCCCGGCUCAACUGGGGAGGGUCACGCGAUACUGAUCGACUCGAAGGCAGGAGAGGGUAGUGGGAAUUCCCGGUGUAGUGGUGAAAUGCGUAGAUAUCGGGAGGAACACCAGUGGCGAAGGCGGGUCUCUGGGCCGAUACUGACGCUGAGGAGCGAAAGCGUGGGGAGCAAACAGGG
rnacentral:rRNA from 1 species